rnacentral:rRNA from 1 species
GACGGAGGAUGCAAGCGUUAUCCGGAAUUAUUGGGCGUAAAGAGCUCGUAGGCGGUUUGUCGCGUCGAAUGUGAAAACCCGGGGCUCAACCCCGGGCCUGCAUUCGAUACGGGCAGACUUGAGUACUGCAGGGGAGACUGGAAUUCCUGGUGUAGCGGUGGAAUGCGCAGAUAUCAGGAGGAACACCGGUGGCGAAGGCGGGUCUCUGGGCAGUAACUGACGCUGAGGAGCGAAAGCGUGGGGAGCGAACAGG